rnacentral:rRNA from 1 species
GAUGAACGCUGGCGGCGUGCCUAAUACAUGCAAGUCGAGCGAACGGACGCGAAGCUUGCUUCUCUGAUGUUAGCGGCGGACGGGUGAGUAACACGUGGAUAACCUACCUAUAAGACUGGGAUAACUUCGGGAAACCGGCGCUAAUACCGGAUAAUAUUUUGAACCGCAUGGGUCAAAAGUGAAAGACGGUCUUGCUGUCACUUAUAGAUGGAUCCGCGCUGCAUUAGCUAGUUGGUAAGGUAAAGGCUUACCAAGGCAACUAUGCAUAGACGACGUGAGGGGGGGAUCGGCCACACGGGAGCGGAGACACGGACAAGACUCCUACGGGAGGGAGCAGUAGGGAAUCUUCCGCAAUGGGCGAAAGCCUGACGGAGCAACGCCGCGUGAGUGAUGAAGGUCUUCGGAUCGUAAAACUCUGUUAUUAGGUGUGAACAGAUGUGUAAGUAACUGUGCACAUCUUGACGGUACCUAGUCAGAAAGCCACGGCUAACUACGUG